rnacentral:tRNA from 1 species
GCACCUGUCGUAUAAUGGCUAUUAUCCCGGCCUUCCAAGCCGGUAAUCCGGGUUCGAAUCCCGGCAGGUGCA